AAAGACGACUCUCGGCAACGGAUAUCUCGGCUCUCGCAUCGAUGAAGAACGUAGCGAAAUGCGAUACUUGGUGUGAAUUGCAGAAUCCCGUGAACCAUCGAGUCUUUGAACGCAAGUUGCGCCUGAGGCCACUCGGCCGAGGGCACGCCUGCCUGGGCGUCACG
rnacentral:rRNA from 1 species